rnacentral:misc_RNA from 1 species
GAUGAAGAACGUAGCGAAAUGCGAUACGUAGUGUGAAUUGCAGAAUUCAGUGAAUCAUCGAAUCUUUGAACGCACAUUGCACCUCCCGGUAUUCCGGGAGGUAUGCCUGUUCGAGCGUCAUUUGUACCCUCAAGCUCUGCUUGGUGUUGGGUGUUUGUUCCGCCUCUGUGUGUGAACUCGCCUCAAAACAAUUGGCAGCCGGCGUACUUGUUUCGGAGCGCAGCACAUUUUGCGAUCCAGAUCAACGUACAGCGGCAUCCAAGAAGCCUUAUUUAACGCUCUUGACCUCGGAUCAGGUAGGGAUACCCGCUGAACUUAAGCAUAUCAAUAGCGGAGGA